CUGGGAGCAGCAAAGAACCGUUAGAUCUCACUUCGUCCUUCCAGUCGGUUCCCUCAAGGGCUCAGCCUUUCCUCAUUUACGGAAUACGGGCUCACUCAGUCUCCCAUCCGUUAGCUCUAGAUUGUGGCCAAGCUUGGCACAGGGGAAAAAAGAAAGCCACCACAGACUGGUGAAAGCACAGAGAACGCACCCUUGAGGAAGGAGAAAGGACCACGACGACGCAAUCCAAUCUUUGACCAAUUAGUAAUUACACUGAUUGCAGCGAAAAAGUUUGCAGAAUAAAAUUAAGAAGAAAGCGAAGGAUGGGGAACAAGUGGCUGAGGAGGCGAGAUGCCCAACCAACCAAGAAAGAAAUCAGUAUGACGAAGAUGCUACCGCUAUUAAUACCACUGGAAAGGGUUGAACUGGUUCCGAAUCAGGAUCUUUCUUCACCAACCAGCCAAGAAAGAACUACUUAUUUGUACUAAACGGAUGAUAUGAAGACCAAAUUUAUUGGAUUGUACACCACACAGAGCGAAUGGAUUAUAAAUCUCUGUUGCCUAGCACUUCUGGUGGACAUAUUUGAAAAGAAUCUUCACCCCUAACUCAUCCUCAGUGCCGGAUUAUAGAAACACGCUCUGUUUUUACAUAAUAUGUAUCAGCGUCGGGACCUGGCUAAAUCCAAUGCAUUAUUUAUUGAGUGUGAAAUAGAAAAUGGAGCUCAAAUAAGUGGAAAUAUUACUGAGAACUUUAAACAACUGGAUUAUCUAUUUACUUUUCUAUACUUGCAACAAUGCGUCUGUCGAAAGUUGGAUAAAGGAAGUGAAGAAAUAUUUUCAACCUGGAUAUAUAUUUCCUAAACUCGGAGAAAUGAAUUUAUGUACGAACUUCUGCGACACUUGCAUUAAAAAAAUAUUUUACAAAAUGCUUCUGCUCAACUAUUAUUACCGUUAAAAAUUUUAAUUUUCCUUAAAAUUAAACUAAUAACUCCGAAACUGUAAACUUUCUUUUCUUGAAUUUGAACAACGACUUCCACGUUUCGACACUCUUCCGCCUUGUAACACCACGGAGAGUGUGGUAGCACUUGAGAAAACGAAGCUGCAUUUUGAAUAUUGGGCCGAACAGGAUUUGCAUGGGAGGAAGGGUUGAGGGGAACUGAACGGUGGAGACCAGAGUCGGCCUGCUUAAUGUCGACGAGCAUAACCAAAUUUGCUUUCCAACUCCUCCAACCCCACCAGAGUUGGCCAUUCCGCUUUCAGGCCGAGUCUGCGGACUCUAGAUUUAUCCCACACCAAACUUCCACCACCACCCAGCCCCCCAACCAACCAAUCCGACCAACAAGUCCAACAACGCCCACCAAGUGCACAGAAAACAGAAAAUCCUGAGGCUUUUACUCCUCCAGAAAGAACAAACUUUAUUCCUACAACUUUAAAUUUAAAAUUAGACUAUCAUUUGAAGUGCAUACACACCUGAUUUUAAAUUAAAUUUGUAUGUGGAUAAAAAAAUCAAUAGUUCAAAAUUGAAUGUCGUGGAUGAAUUUGUGUGUGAAAGUGAAAGUCUACUUUUUAAAAUAGAGCUGGAUACUUGACAAAACCCGACAAAAAUCACCAAAUCGGGAUUCAACUCAAACUAUUAUAUUUGAUGUUAGUAAUUGAACUUGUAAUUCAGCAGCUUUGCCGUAGCGCAGUAAGCGAGAGAGAAAGGCAACUCGACAAGCAGAAAUAAGUUGUGAAAUAAUUUAAAAUGUUAACCGUAAUGCUUCCAAAAUGCAACUGAGCCCGAUUACGGCGAUGGGAGCAGAGUGUGGAGCGGCUCAUUCAGGUCUACAUAAGCAUGUCUGCUAUUAAUGAAUAAAAACUUAUCGGUUGGCGUAUAAAAAACA